GAUGAACGCUGGCGGCGUGCCUAAUACAUGCAAGUCGAGCGAACGGACGAGAAGCUUGCUUCUCUGAUGUUAGCGGCGGACGGGUGAGUAACACGUGGAUAACCUACCUAUAAGACUGGGAUAACUUCGGGAAGCCGGAGCUAAUACCGGAUGAUAUUUUGAACCGCAUGGUUCAAAAGUGAAAGACGGUCUUGCUGUCACUUAUAGAUGGAUCCGCGCUGCAUUAGCUAGUUGGUAAGGUAACGGCUUACCAAGGCAACGAUGCAUAGCCGACCUGAGAGGGUGAUCGCCCACCCGGGAACGGACACACGGCCAAGCCUCAGACGGGAGGCACAAGAGGGGAUUCUUCCGCAGGGGGCGAAGGCCUGACGGGGCACCGCCGGGGGGGGGAGAAAGGUUUUGGUAUCGAAAAACUUUUUUAUGGGGGAAAAAAAUAUGUGAAAUAAAUGUUGCAAUUCUGGAGGUUCCCUAAUAAAAAAACCACGCCUACCUCCGUG
rnacentral:rRNA from 1 species